UGGGCCUUGGGGGUGAAAGUAAAGGCGUGGGGCAUGUGUGGAUAGUAACCUUCAGCUACAGCACGUAUGCAGCAUGAAACUGACAGAGAGGGAACAGAGGUUGAAUAUAAAACAGGGGCGGACAGAUGAUAAACUUAAAAUGAGAUUUUAAAAAGUUUUAACUAAUAGGGGCAAUAGCUAGUCAUUGUGCUGUUCUUGCUGGGGGCCCUUUAGGUCUGUGGCUAAUAGCUAUACACUUUCGUUAUCCUUGAACCUGUGGUCUUUUAUGUUACCAUGACUUAGCUUUUUGUCCUUAUCUGGAAACUUGCACAAGUGCAGCUAAAAUUCGGUUUGUAAGCAAUGUCUCUCAGUUUUAUCAUUAAAUCAUACAUGAGUCACCCUCGGAACGAAACAUCAAAGAAAGAUGCUCUCCUUCAGACUCAAACACAUGAAUCUUACAUUGCUGUACUGUAGUUUUGGAGACAGUGAAAUUGAUCGUAGUAUUUUUCUUAACUUUUAGAACUCUCCUUCCUUAAUUUUCACCCUCAAAUGUUCUUAUAAAUGAGGGUCUUCUUCGGCCAUGGACUCUCCUUAACCUUCUCCUCCAGCUACCCUAAACUGAAAUCACCAGUUGUUAUUUGACUUGAUGUUAGUGUCAGGUGAACACUGAGAAAUGUAAAGAUGUUGCUCAGAUGGAUUUAGUUGGCAUGCUCGGAGUGUUUCAUGUCUGCUUGUGGUGGAGAGUACAACAUUAAAAGUCUCACGAACUCUAACCCUGAUGGUGCAGGUUGUACUGAAAAGGAGAAAAGAGUUAAGAGAGCCUGUGAAGGCUUUUGAGUCAGGAAAACUCUAGUUUGGGCUGUGCUGUGUUAAAUUUUAAAGGGACUCUGGUCAACUUAAGAGAAGUGGAAGAAAAUUAAGGAGCUAUUGAAAGAAAUUAGUCAUGGGUCAAGCUCAGCAGUAAAGACUGCCUUCUAUUAACUUGAUGGAGGAAAUUGUGAUCAGAGUGCAGCUGGGUGAGUCUGACAAGCAUCCAGGUCAUUUUACAUUCAGAGUCAGAAAAGGGGAGUGUGUGGAGAGAGACACAAGGUCACGAUCGGGUCACAAAUUACUUUCAUAAAACAUCACACAUUAUUAAUUUCAGUGUCAGGCAGUGACAUGGUAUUCAGUCAUUUGUUAUAAUGUCUCUUCUAGUAGCAAGUGGCCUGCUGGAAAGUUCACUGUGUAAGGGAGAUUUUACUAUCAAGAAGAAAAAUAAACUUCCAAAGGUUAGGCUGAAUGUGAAAUUAAAAAUGAAAGAGGUGAAGUGUGAAAAACUGGGGCACCAUUGGAGUAAAAAUGGGUUUCAGAGGAGAAAAGUCAUGGUGUGAGUAAAGGAGUAAGAGUAGAGGAAUUACAGAGCUGCAACGGUUCAGCUGGAAUCUGACACAGAAAUGAAGGAUCACUAGGAUGUAAGCCUUUAAGUGCAGAAUGUUACAGAGGUCACUAUCAACCAUGUUAAAGGGACCAUAGCAAUCAAUACCUUGCACUUACUGAGAUCAAUACAUAAAAUCCUGUGUCAGACUCCUGAUCAUCAGUCAAUAUGAUCAUGAAGCCUACCGUCCACAUGCACUUUACAGUCAUCACAAAUGUCCAUGUAGUCUGAAACCUUUGUAAAGGAUAAACCUGAUGUCAAUUUUAGUUCUAUAAGUGUAAGUGUAUAAGUGAACAAUGCUAUUGAUGAGAAGUGCCUUUAAGUGAUGAAGAAGAAACUUAAAUGACUUCAGUCUGCCCAUAUUUGUGUAUCUGAAUGUUAGUCAAAGUCAAAAAGGUAACAACAUUACAGGAGCUAUCUGUGUACAGCUUGUUCCUCCGUGACCCUCAGUGUCUGUAGAAGAAGUUGAAGACACAAGUUUCCAUCCAGAGGACUCACUCUGCACAUGUACUCGCCCUCAGAUUGUUUGCAUUGAGCUCCAAAUUGGAUUAGCACAAAGUCGAUACCUGUCAUUGCCAUGAUGCAAUGCAGAUGCAAUUACUCAACUAACUGAGGAGAAUGCUUUUCAUGUUUCUCUGACCUUGGCAUUACGUCACUGAUUUCUACUUAUCUAACAGCUCUGCUAUAUUCCAAAUUAAGUAAUUGUUUGAAGAAAUGCACGCUUAAAAAAUGAUCCAAUACAAGACUGAUGAAAGGACACAUGACCUUCUAUUAUGCAGGACACCAGAGAGGAGGGGCACCAGUCAUAUUUGGCUAGUUUAGCUGUGUAGACAUAUCUCUGUGAUUGUAUGAAGUACUGGUAAAAAAUCAUACGGCAGACUCUGAGUGAUAAAAGAUUAGAAAAGAAAAGAAACGUUGUAGUCUUGCCUUUAACUAAAUCUUCUAUCAUAAACUUAGUUUUGUUUGAGUGUAUCUCUCGCUUGUCUUAAUGUCUGAUGGUGCUCUUAUUUUAGUAUCUUUUUGUUCUGUUUUUCCAUAUCAUUUUAGUUCAUUAUUUCUUUAAUUUUAUUUCAUGUUAGGUUUUUUUUGACAUUUUAAUUUUACCUCUAGUGCUUCCUCAUUCUAAAGAUUAGGAGGGCUUUUCCUCAGUGCACACAUAUUUCUGCUUUUACUGAAUCCAUUGCUUGUGAUAUAAAAUGGACUUGGUAGAUGGAUUUAAGCUUGUGUACCUUUUUUUCUAGUCAUCUGACUACUUAAUGCACUUUACAACUUGCCACUAAUGUGUUUGGAUUGCAGGCUGGGGGUGGGGGGACAGGGAUGGGGUGCAAA